AUUGAACGCUGGCGGCGUGCCUAACACAUGCAAGUCGAGCGAGCGGCGGACGGGUGAGUAGUUUCUGGGAAACUGCCUGAUGUAGGGGGAUAACUGCUGGAAACCGUAGCUAAUACCGCAUACCAUCGGAUGUGCCCAGAUGGGAUUAGCUAGUAGGUGGGGUAAAGGCUCACCUAGGCGACGAUCCCUAGCUGGUCUGAGAGGAUGACCAGCCACACUGGAACUGAGACACGGUCCAGAAUCCUACGGGAGGCAGCAGUGGGGAAUAUUGCACAAUGGGCGCAAGCCUGAUGCAGCCAUGCCGCGUGUAUGAAGAAGGUCUUCGGGUCGUAAAGUACUUUCAGCGGGGAGGCGUUACCCGCAGAAGAAGCACCGGCUAACUCCGUGCCAGCAGCGGCGGUAAUUC
rnacentral:rRNA from 1 species